UAAUUUGUGGUACCUGUUUUGUCGUCUGGGUCUUUGCAGACCCUGGUUUUUGAGAACACGGGGAUGGAAUCUGAUGAGACUCUGAUGAGUCAGGAUCGAGGUUUACUGGCUCUGCCUGCUGUGAGAACACACACCAACCUGUGCUCUGUCUUCACAGUUCUGUACGGAGCUCAACCAGCCAAUCCUGCCCAACAUCCGCAAGUGGAAGGGGCCCCGAGGAUGCUGGAAGUUCAUUGUUUCAGAGACGCCCUCGACUCAGCUCCAGAAGCUCUUUGCCAUUCAUUUCAAAAUGCCCUGGUUCUCGUUUCCUGUUUGGAUCGGGAAGGGACUGCCGCCCAGCGGAAAUGGGAGUUUGGGUGUUGGGAGGAGAGGAGAAAUCCUGUCUGGAACCAAGGCCACAAGUAGGGUAUUUCUGUCCUUUGUGCUCAUAAUCCCUUCUCCACGGUUCCAGCCGCUGCCAAGUUUGUGGCGAGCCCAUGUUCAUUGACUGAAAACUUCAGACCCACUUAAUUGCGUGUGCACUCUUGGCUUUCAGUGGGAGGAACUGUGCACGUGGAAAUGGUCUGUGGGAAUUUUCAGCCGAUUUUAAUUUUGCAUGUUCUUUCAGUAGGAUCACCCAUCUGGGUUUGGGUAAAUCUCUGUAUAUAUAGAUUUUCACUCUGGCAUAUCAUAUUCAAGAUCGGUUUUUAUUCACUUGAAAUGUUCAGUAUCAGUGGAGUUGUAGAUUUAAAAAAAAAA